UACGUAGGUGGCAAGCGUUGUCCGGAUUUACUGGGCGUAAAGAGCGCGCAGGCGGUCGGAUAAGUCGAAUGUGAAAGCCCCUGGCCCAACCAGGGAGGGUCAUUCGAUACUGUUCGACUCGAAGGCAGGAGAGGGAAGUGGAAUUCCGGGUGUAGUGGUGAAAUGCGUAGAUAUCCGGAGGAACACCAGUGGCGAAGGCGACUUUCUGGCCUGUUCUUGACGCUGAGGCGCGAAAGCUAGGGGAGCAAACGGG
rnacentral:rRNA from 1 species